CACGUAGGGUGCGAGCGUUGUCCGGAAUUACUGGGCGUAAAGAGCUCGUAGGUGGUUUGUCGCGUUGUUCGUGAAAACUCACAGCUCAACUGUGGGCGUGCGGGCGAUACGGGCAGACUAGAGUACUGCAGGGGAGACUGGAAUUCCUGGUGUAGCGGUGGAAUGCGUAGAUAUGGGGAGGAACACCGGUGGCGAAGGCGGCCAUCUGGACGGAUACUGACGCUGAGACGCGAAAGCGUGGGUAGCAAACAGG
rnacentral:rRNA from 1 species